rnacentral:lncRNA from 1 species
UGGGCCUCCGCGGGCGACGACGGAGCAGGGAUCGGUGCCUCUGGACUCGGGACUGGAGACGAGGGUGAGUGCCCGCUGGCGUGCCCGACACCCCACCGUCCCCCCGCCCGCCCACCGCCUCUGCCUGCGGCUCAGCUGGCACCCCCUCCCCUCGCCCGCAGCCAGGUCUCCAGAUCGGGUGACGUGCUGCUGGCCUCCGAAGGCCGGGCGCGAGGCUGCGCUCAGAGAGGCAUGACAUGGUCCGGUGCGACGGCGAGGACAGACGUGACGCCGCCCGGCCUUCCUGGUGAGCGCGGCUGUGAGGCUUGGCCCCCGCAGGCCGACCCACCCGCAGGGCGUCACCCCUGAGCGCUCUUGCUUCCCUAGACCAUUCUAGGCUGGCGCCGCGGGGACCCGGAACACCCAAGGGCUCGUUCCUCUGCGCUCCUGAAGGAGCCGACACAUGACUGCUGCUCUCUGGACCCCUAGAACCCUCAAAACGACAAGGUGAGGAGUCCCCGGCCAGCCGCGGGCAGCGGGCGCGGGCCAAGGAGCAGGGAACUCACCGUGUCCUGCCCCGCAGAAAUGGUGCUACCCAGCUCACGCCUGGGCCUUGGAACUGGGACUUCUUCAAGUCCCCUCUAGCUCUGACUCAAGAAUAUGCUGCAUUCUGGAACCACUACACUCCUUGACUCAGGAAUCGGCUCUGGAAGGUGAGUGCGGGCACCCUUCCGGAAGCUUCCGGGGCCGCCCUGCCCGGUCCCCGCUCACACGUCCUGUCGCUCUCUGCAGGUCAAGCUACAGGAACGAGACCAGCCCGACAGCAAGACCGUCGGAAGCGAGCAGCACCCGCGGCGGCCGCCACCCCGCCUGGCGCCUCCGUCUCCGUGGCCACCCUGCCGUGGACAGGCGACCACCAACCAGCCUCCACGCCCCCACGCCCCUCACCCUCCUUCUCUUCUUCCUUUCCUCUGUGCUUUCAUUUCCUUUCUUUCCUUUCCCCUUUGCUCGGGACUCAAAGCCACCGUGACUCCGUUUCCCCGUCCCUCCCGAAUUCAAUUUGCACUAAGUCGUUUGCACUGGUUUGGAGUUCUGGGUCUGGCCUCGAGUCCCCGAGCGCGUGUGCAAGCAAGAUGCUGAGUGCCCGCGCCGUGCCCAGCGCCCACCUGCCGUCCAUCUCUGCCUGGGGGUGCCUGGGUGCGUCCGAGUGUGUGGGGCCCCACCCUCCCCUUGCCUAGUCUGGGAGCUCCAAACACCGAGCAAACCUUGAAGCAUUCCGUUGUAGAGCAGCUCGCUCUGUGCCCCUCCCCGCCAGGGUUUCACCAGAAGCCCUGGACUCAUCAAUAAACUCAGUUACAG